GGACGAACGCUGGCGGCGUGGAUUAGGCAUGCAAGUCGGACGGUAGGGCUUUAUCGUAAGAUAGAGUUUGAGAGUGGCGAACGGGUGAGUAACACGUAGGAAUCUACCCUUAAGACGGGGACAACCCAGGGAAACUUGGGCUAAUACCGGAUGAGAGUGCGAGAGAUUGCAUUUAAAAGGAUGGCGAAAGUUGUCGCUUAGGGAUGAGCCUGCGGUCUAUUAGUUAGUUGGUGAGGUAAGAGCUCACCAAGGCGAUGAUAGGUAGGCGGCCUUAACGGGUGGUCGCCCACACUGGGAUUGAGAUACGGCCCAGACUCCUACGGGAGGCAGCAGUCGAGAAUAGUCUACAAUGGUCGGAAGACUGAUAGUGCGACGCCGCGUGAACGAUGAAUCCCUUCGGGGUGUAAAGUUCUUUUAUAUGUGAGCAGUGCUUCUUAUAUUAACAGUAUGGGGAGAGAGAUAUUAGCAUAUGAAUAAGCAACGGCUAACUCCGUG
rnacentral:rRNA from 1 species